UUAUGAGAGUUUGAUCCUGGCUCAGGACGAACGCUGGCGGCGUGCCUAAUACAUGCAAGUCGAACGCUUUUUCUUUCACCGGAGCUUGCUCCAUCGAAAGAAAAAGAGUGGCGAACGGGUGAGUAACACGUGGGUAACCUGCCCAUCAGAAGGGGAUAACACUUGGAAACAGGUGCUAAUACCGUAUAACACUAUUUUCCGCAUGGAAGAAAGUUGAAAGGCGCUUUUGCGUCACUGAUGGAUGGACCCGCGGUGCAUUAGCUAGUUGGUGAGGUAACGGCUCACCAAGGCCACGAUGCAUAGCCGACCUGAGAGGGUGAUCGGCCACACUGGGACUGAGACACGGCCCAGACUCCUACGGGAGGCAGCAGUAGGGAAUCUUCGGCAAUGGACGAAAGUCUGACCGAGCAACGCCGCGUGAGUGAAGAAGGUUUUCGGAUCGUAAAACUCUGUUGUUAGAGAAGAACAAGGAUGAGAGUA
rnacentral:rRNA from 1 species